GCUGCCAAUUCCCCAAGCAAAGGGAAGCGAGGGGAGAGCGCGGAGCCCCCGAUUAGCGUUCGGAGGAACUGGCCUAGAGGGGCCACUCGGAGCGCAAAGGCCCCGCGAAAUAGAAUAUCUAUACGCCCAGCAACCCUCCCUUUCGAGGCGCACGGAAUAAGUUGGCUGGAACUCUCCGCUGACCGCUCCGCCUGGGACUCAGGGUUGCAGCCGCACAGAGCUUCCUCCGGGGCGCCCAGGGCGGCGCGAGCAGGAGGGGGACCCAGUGUGGCCGCGCCCGGGAACUCGGGGGACCAGGUGAGGCUGCGCCCGGGUCCCAGUGGGAUCCAGAUGAGCGUACGCCCAAGCCCGCGGGGGACCAGGUGAGCCCGCGCCCGGGUCUGAGUGGGAUCCAGGUGAGCCAGCGUCCAGCGUCUCCAGGGUCUGGGGCAGGGUCGUCGGGCUUAGGACUCAAGCAGUCAGCGGGCAGAAUGGGUUGGCGUGGAGAGCCAGACGCGCUCAGGAUCCAGGCGAUGGGCCUGGGCAUAGCCGUGUCUGCAAGGGCUGUCGUCAGGGGAUCGUCGAGAGGACCUGCUUCUACCUAGUGGAUUCACAGUACUACCCAUAAAAAUAAACCCUGCUAAUGAGACGGUGUGUGGGAAGGGGGUGGGAGCAUGGUCAUUUUAUUAGAGCUGAGCAUUAAUAAUUUCCUUGAGGACCUUGGGCAAACUCUUUGUUUUGAAGCCAGUGGAGGCCUGGGUCAGUGUCCCUGAGUUCUGAGUUAACUGCGUGGACAAAUGAUGAGAAACAGCCAUCACUUUAGGGAUGUUUUAAGAGAAAGUCGGUGUGUGCUGAAACAGUGAGUUAGAGAGACUGGGAACAGAAAGCAAAGACCAGAAAGACAAGAAGCAAACAUAUGGGAAGUCAAAAAAGGAAAUUGCCUGGAAAUAAAGCCAGAUGGGUCUGGCAGGAGUGCUGUCUUGGUUGACAUCUGUGGGACAUGACCCUGGACAGAUCACUGGAGUCAGAGGAGGUCAUUAAUUAAGAAUCCGCUGGUUAUCCUUGGUGUUUUAAGGUUACCACGGUAGAAAUAGAAACGUGUGCAGCACAUAGUCAACAAGUUUUGGCAAAUGACCAAAUAAGAUACAAACAUUUAAUUGGAUUAGGAGAUCAGUUGCAAAGUGUUGUGUUUCUAUGCCAUGAUGAACAUUCAGAGUGGAAUCUCUAGAAAAAUGCUUUGUGUAAAUGAUUAGACUGUAGGGCUAAGGUGUUGCAAAACAGUACAGUAAGUUAUUUACUCUUUUUUUUUUUUGAGACGGAGCCUCACUCUGUUGCCCAGGCUGGAGGGUAGUGGCUUGAUCUCGGCUCACUGCAACCUCCGCCUCCCGGGUUCAAGCAGUAAAUUAUUUACUUUUAGUCUCAAUAAUACUGUGUGUAUCAGUAAUAAUCUAAUUACAUUUAUUUCAAGAAGGUGUCCAUUUGUUUUAGACAGGUAAUUACUAGUUUAAAAUAGAUGGGAAUAUAAAACAUUCCGAUAAUUUGAAAUAUAGGCUAAAGUCAAGUAAAACAUUUGCAAAACCAUACAUGAAAAUGGUAAAAUAAGAGCAGACCAAGUUCAGCUAGUUUUCAAAAAAAUAUAGAAUGCCACUCUUUCCCCUGUUCUUGUACUUGAGGGUUGAGGAGCUGUUUGUUGUUGCAGGCUCACACCUGUGUGUCCGAGUCAGGCCUGCAAAACCUGUGUGUCCCACUUCUCAAUUUACCCAGUUCUGGGGUCCUUCUCUGCACACCUGUGAAAAGACAUCUUAUUCUUGUGGUUUAAAACUUGCCGGCCGGGCGCGGUGGCUUAUGCCUGUAAUCCCAGCGCUUUGGGAGCCCGAGGCGGGUGGAUCACGAGGUCAAGAGAUUGAGACCAUCCUGGCCAACAUGGUGAAACCCCGUCUCUACUAAAAAUACAAAAAUUAACUGGGCGUGGUGGCACAUACCUGUAAUCCCAUCUACUUGGGAGGCUGAGGUAGGAGAAUCACUUGAACCCGGGAGGCAGAGGUUGCAGUGAGUCGAGAUCGUGCAGUUGCACUCCAGCCUGGGUGACAAGAGCCAAACUCCGUCUCAAAAAAAACCCAACCAACCAGCCAAACAAACAAAAACUUGCCUAUACUGCUUGGUGUUUUAAAAAAUUUGGAAGGGGGAGGAAAAGACAGGUUAUUCUUCCAUGAAUCAGACACAGCAACUGAACCUCAAUUGUUGGGGAGGGAUUGAUUGCUGAAUGAAAAAACUAGGUGGGAGGCAGGAGGGGGUGGAUAUGAUGACCUCAUUUGAACUUUGCAUGCUAUUUCUUCUUAAACGGUGAGGAGUUUAGAAAAAGUACUCAAGCUUAGUUUUGGCGGAAAGGCAUUAAUAGUAUUUUCUCAAGCAGUGUUUGUACAGAAUUAUUAAGGAGCCCCCUAACAUUUUCUCAUAAGCCCCCAGGAACGGAUUCCUUGUACCUCAGAGGCAAGGUACUUGCCAAUAAGCCUUUAGCUUGAGGCUUGCUGUAAUAUAUUUUAUAAGACUGUAAUGGAACUUAGCAAUUUAAUCAGAGUAUGUGCUUCUCGUUAUAUUCUUAAAAAAUACAACGCAUCAGCAAAUGUUGCAUUAUGGGCUAUGAAAUUCCUUCUGUUAGUUGUUCACAUUUUAGCCUGUGCCCACUGUGUUUUGUAUGAUGGACAAACCAAAUAAUCAUUAUGUAAGUAAGGUAGAGCUUUAUAUUUUUUCCAAUGUGUAAACACUCUGUAAAUAGGCAGUCCUUGGUGGGUGUGGCAGCUCCCCUAGCUCAUCAGGAACCUGGACUCCUCUCUUUCUUCUCUGCUAUCCUCAGUGUGUAGUUCUCAUCUUUCAGGCUGCCUGGUGGUUGCAAGAUGACUGCUGAAGUUCUAGUCAUGACACUCAUGUUCUAGGCAGGAAGUAGGAAGAAAGGGAGAAGGUAGCUGAAUACAAUUUAACAACUUCCAUUUAAAUUUUGUGGUAGAAUGUCUGCAAAGAUGGCUGCCAAUAAUUUUUGUAGGCUUAAGUCAUUUUUUCCUGUCAAGAGGUAUAGUCUGUUUCUCUUCUCCUUUAGUCAGGGCUGGCCCUAUGACUUGCUUUGACCAAUAGAAUGUAUUGGAAGGCCUUGCUAGGCUUUGCUGCUUCUGUUUACCCUCUUGGGAUCCAGCUGCCAUGUAAAGAAGCUUAGACUAGAAUAUAUAUAUAUAUAUAUCUGGAAUACAAUGGUGUGAACACAGCUUACUGCAGCCUCAACCUCCCAGGCUCAGGUGAUCCUCCCACCUCAGCUUCGAUAGUAGCUGGGACUACAGGUGCACUUUACCAUACUCAGCUAAUUUUUUGUAGAGACAGGGUUUCGCCAUUUUGCCCAGGUUGGUCUUGAACUCCUUGGCUCAAGUGAUCCACCCACCUCGGCCUCCCAAAGUGCUGGGAUUACAGGUGUGAGCCACCACAGCUGGCCCAGAGUAAACUAUUGAAUAAUGAACAACUAUGUGAAGAGAGGCCUAGCCAGUCCCCAGCUAUUCCAAGUACCCCAGUUGAGGCAUAAGUCACGUGUAUGAAGCCAUCUUGAGUGUACCAGUCCCAGUCAAACUCCACUUGAUACCAUGUGGGAUGCAAGAACCACCCAGUUGAGCCCUGUCAACUUAUAGAAAUGAUCAGAAAUAGUAAAUCAUUGCUGAAUUGUGCCGAAACACAAUUAAUUGGCUCUCCGCCUCCAAAUACCAGAUGGUCAAGAAGUGAAGUUCAUUAAUUGGGCUCUUUGCCAUACUAGACAUGUUAUGAGUUUUUUACUACAGAGGAAGGGGAUGGCUGUCUGGGAUGGGGAGGAGUGAUAACAGUUGGCCACAGUCACUAAUCACAAGAUGGCAUCUUGGGACAGAAAAGGCAUCUCUGGGACCCCAGAAGCAGGGUCCUGUGGGAUUGUUACUCUCAUGCUUUGGCAUUAAUGGGACUGGGCCACCCACAGAGGCUGUGCUUUUGUGUCCUGCCUCUGCCCUUCCUCUGCUCUGAAGCUUGCUGCCUCACAGUUUCUGUGCCUGGGUGACCUCAGGCCCCACUCUGUGCACACUGUGAGCUCCCAGCUCCUGGCUGCUGCCAGGUAGCCUAACUCCUGUUCUCAGAGAGGAAGUCGAAUUGUAUCGCUCCAAUGUCCAGUGAGGUCACGCAAAGGUCAUCUCUGGUUUCUGGAUUGGCUGCACAGCCCUUAUCCAGUCAGUUCUGGUAGGAGAGGGACAUGGCUUCAUGAGGGUUUUGCCAAUAACUAGGGUUGUGGGAAGCACAGGCUCUCUUGGGGACACCAUGCGUGUGGCAACUAAUGUUCUCUUCCAGUUUUUUGAGCAGGAAUGAGGCAGGGGAGGAAGACUGUGUGACAUGGUGGAUUUGCCUUGAGCUCCAGAAGAACUGGAUCAAGUUCUGGCUACCUCACUUACUGGCUGUGUUACUUUGAGCAGGUUUUAUAGAACUUUGCCUCAGUUUUCUUGAGGUGAUUGGUACUCACUUCAGAAGUUUAUUUUGAAGAUUAAAUAAGAGAAUAUGUGUAAAAUACAUAGUGUGUGCUCACCAAAUGUAGCCAUUAUGUUACUAUUUUGUUUUAAUGUACAUAAGCAACUGUGAGUCUCUUUUGUGGAAUCAAUGUUCCUUUAAAAAUUAGCCAUCUAUCAAGUGAUAUUUUCCCAGAG
rnacentral:lncRNA from 10 species